AAUAAAAAUCCAAUAGUGGGUAACACGGUGAGGAUCUGUGCAGCAGCAUUACCUAUGAUGGGCAUCGAGCCCAGGACCUCCCCACUAUACCCAGUGAUAGGUAACCCCCUCUUCCCAUCGGGAUACGAAGACGGAGCAUUCUGGCAGUUGAGAAAAAGAGAGUGUACACAAGUAGCAAGGUAUAUCCACAUGGGAAGAUGGGUAACCAUAGCGGAACUGAUGGAAAUAGGAAAUGUAUUCCGUUUGAAAUUCUGGAAUGCACUUCAGAUAGUUCACUUCCUGAACACUUUGCCAAAUCCAGAGAGCUUUGAAAGACCACUCAUGAAAUUUGAGAAAAUAUGUAAUAUGUAAUGAACAUAAGCUAUGAGUUAUUAGUACGAUCAGGAGGUUGCCCUCUGAGGUGCGUUCAGGAAUGGGAAAGGGAAUUGGAGAAGUCCUUCAGUUCGGAACAGCGACAAUGCAUAUACAGGCGAACACACGAAACAUCAAUAUGUGUGAGAAUACAAGAGACAAAC